rnacentral:misc_RNA from 1 species
CUAAUUCAACACCCAAGAAAUAUCUAGCAUAACCCAUGUCUUUUAUAGUGAAUGUUUGAUGAAGAAAUUGCUUGACCCGAAUGAUUUCAGCUUCAUUUGCACCAGUUAUGAGAAUAUUGUCGACGUAGACAAGCAAAGCAAGAAAAUUAACAUUAGAGCCUUUGACAAAGAGACAAUUAUCAUGUGCCGAUUGUGUAAAACCAUACUGAUGCAAUUUUGAUGCGAGUUCCUUAUUCCAUUGGCGUCCAGCCUAUUUUAAUCCAUACAAGGAUUUAACCAAACGACAAACUUGACCAAGCUUGGCACGAGUAUAACCAUCUGGAGGCUUCAUGUAGAGUUCUUCAUCGAUAUAACUGUGUAGGUAUGCAUUAUUGAUAUCAAGCUGGUGAAUGGCCCAAGCUUGUGCUGCAACAAUUGCUAGGAAAACCUGAACAGUAACUGUUUUAGCCACCGGAGAAAACGAGGCAGUAUAAUCAGUGCCCAGAAGUUGAUUGUAUCCCUUUGCUACUCUAGCCUUGUAGCGCUCAACAGUACCAUCCGGAUUGUAUUUCACACGAUAGACCCAUUUGGAGUCAAUAGCUUUCUUGUGAGGAGGUAAUUCUGUAAGUUCCCA